GACGAACGCUGGCGGCGUGCCUAAUACAUGCAAGUAGAACGCUGAAGAGAGGAGCUUGCUCUUCUUGGAUGAGUUGCGAACGGGUGAGUAACGCGUAGGUAACCUGCCUUGUAGCGGGGGAUAACUAUUGGAAACGAUAGCUAAUACCGCAUAACAAUGGAUGACACAUGUCAUUUAUUUGAAAGGGGCAAUUGCUCCACUACAAGAUGGACCUGCGUUGUAUUAGCUAGUAGGUGAGGUAAUGGCUCACCUAGGCGACGAUACAUAGCCGACCUGAGAGGGUGAUCGGCCACACUGGGACUGGGACACGGCCCAGACUCCUACGGGAGGCAGCAGUAGGGAAUCUUCGGCAAUGGGGGCAACCCUGACCGAGCAACGCCGCGUGAGGGAAGAAGGGUUUCGGAUCGUAAAGCUCUGUUGUAAGUCAAGAACGGGUGUGAGAGUGGAAAGUUCACACUGUGACGGUAGCUGACCAGAAAGGGACGGCUAACUACGUG
rnacentral:rRNA from 1 species